AGGCCCGUAGUGUCAGUGGUUAGCACGGCGGUCUCCAAAACCGCAAGGAGGGGUUCAAGUCCUCUCGGGCCUGCCA
rnacentral:tRNA from 2 species